UUAAGCGACUAAGCGUACACGGUGGAUGCCCUGGCAGUCAGAGGCGAUGAAGGACGUGCUAAUCUGCGAAAAGCGUCGGUAAGGUGAUAUGAACCGUUACAGCCGGCGAUGUCCGAAUGGGGAAACCCAGUGCAAUUCGUUGCACUAUCGUUAACUGAAUACAUAGGUUAACGAGGCGAACCGGGGGAACUGAAACAUCUAAGUACCCCGAGGAAAAGAAAUCAACCGAGAUUCCCCCAGUAGCGGCGAGCGAACGGGGAGCAGCCCAGAGUCUGAAUCAGCUUGUGUGUUAGUGGAACGGUCUGGAAAGUCCGACGGUACAGGGUGAUAGUCCCGUACACCAAAAUGCACAGGCUGUGAACUCGAAGAGUAGGGCGGGACACGUGGUAUCCUGUCUGAAUAUGGGGGGACCAUCCUCCAAGGCUAAAUACUCCUGACUGACCGAUAGUGAACCAGUACCGUGAGGGAAAGGCGAAAAGAACCCCGGCGAGGGGAGUGAAAAAGAACCUGAAACCGUGUACGUACAAGCAGUGGGAGCACCUUCGGGUGUGACUGCGUACCUUUUGUAUAAUGGGUCAGCGACUUAUAUUCUGUAGCAAGGUUAACCGUAUAGGGGAGCCGCAGGGAAACCGAGUCUUAACUGGGCGUUAAGUUGCAGGGUAUAGACCCGAAACCCGGUGAUCUAGCCAUGGGCAGGUUGAAGGUUGGGUAACACUAACUGGAGGACCGAACCGACUAAUGUUGAAAAAUUAGCGGAUGACUUGUGGCUGGGGGUGAAAGGCCAAUCAAACCGGGAGAUAGCUGGUUCUCCCCGAAAGCUAUUUAGGUAGCGCCUCGUGAACUCAUCUUCGGGGGUAGAGCACUGUUUCGGCUAGGGGGUCAUCCCGACUUACCAACCCGAUGCAAACUACGAAUACCGAAGAAUGUUAUCACGGGAGACACACGGCGGGUGCUAACGUCCGUCGUGAAGAGGGAAACAACCCAGACCGCCAGCUAAGGUCCCAAAGUCACAGUUAAGUGGGAAACGAUGUGGGAAGGCACAGACAGCCAGGAUGUUGGCUUAGAAGCAGCCAUCAUUUAAAGAAAGCGUAAUAGCUCACUGGUCGAGUCGGCCUGCGCGGAAGAUGUAACGGGGCUAAACUGUGCACCGAAGCUGCGGCAGCGACACUAUGUGUUGUUGGGUAGGGGAGCGUUCUGUAAGCCUGCGAAGGUGGCCUGUGAGGGUUGCUGGAGGUAUCAGAAGUGCGAAUGCUGACAUAAGUAACGAUAAUGCGGGUGAAAAGCCCGCACGCCGGAAGACCAAGGGUUCCUGUCCAACGUUAAUCGGGGCAGGGUGAGUCGACCCCUAAGGCGAGGCCGAAAGGCGUAGUCGAUGGGAAACAGGUUAAUAUUCCUGUACUUGGUGUUACUGCGAAGGGGGGACGGAGAAGGCUAUGUUAGCCGGGCGACGGUUGUCCCGGUUUAAGCAUGUAGGCGGAGGUUCCAGGUAAAUCCGGUACCUUUUAACGCUGAGGUGUGAUGACGAGGCACUACGGUGCUGAAGUAACAAAUGCCCUGCUUCCAGGAAAAGCCUCUAAGCAUCAGGUAACAUUGAAUCGUACCCCAAACCGACACAGGUGGUCAGGUAGAGAAUACCAAGGCGCUUGAGAGAACUCGGGUGAAGGAACUAGGCAAAAUGGUGCCGUAACUUCGGGAGAAGGCACGCUGAUAUGUAGGUGAAGUCCCUGCGGAUGGAGCUGAAAUCAGUCGAAGAUACCAGCUGGCUGCAACUGUUUAUUAAAAACACAGCACUGUGCAAACACGAAAGUGGACGUAUACGGUGUGACGCCUGCCCGGUGCCGGAAGGUUAAUUGAUGGGGUUAUCCGUAAGGAGAAGCUCUUGAUCGAAGCCCCGGUAAACGGCGGCCGUAACUAUAACGGUCCUAAGGUAGCGAAAUUCCUUGUCGGGUAAGUUCCGACCUGCACGAAUGGCGUAAUGAUGGCCAGGCUGUCUCCACCCGAGACUCAGUGAAAUUGAACUCGCUGUGAAGAUGCAGUGUACCCGCGGCAAGACGGAAAGACCCCGUGAACCUUUACUAUAGCUUGACACUGAACAUUGAGCCUUGAUGUGUAGGAUAGGUGGGAGGCUUUGAAGCGUGGACGCCAGUCUGCGUGGAGCCAACCUUGAAAUACCACCCUUUAAUGUUUGAUGUUCUAACGUUGGCCCCUAAUCGGGGUUGCGGACAGUGUCUGGUGGGUAGUUUGACUGGGGCGGUCUCCUCCCAAAGAGUAACGGAGGAGCACGAAGGUUAGCUAAUCCUGGUCGGACAUCAGGAGGUUAGUGCAAUGGCAUAAGCUAGCUUGACUGCGAGCGUGACGGCGCGAGCAGGUGCGAAAGCAGGUCAUAGUGAUCCGGUGGUUCUGAAUGGAAGGGCCAUCGCUCAACGGAUAAAAGGUACUCCGGGGAUAACAGGCUGAUACCGCCCAAGAGUUCAUAUCGACGGCGGUGUUUGGCACCUCGAUGUCGGCUCAUCACAUCCUGGGGCUGAAGUAGGUCCCAAGGGUAUGGCUGUUCGCCAUUUAAAGUGGUACGCGAGCUGGGUUUAGAACGUCGUGAGACAGUUCGGUCCCUAUCUGCCGUGGGCGCUGGAGAAUUGAGGGGGGCUGCUCCUAGUACGAGAGGACCGGAGUGGACGCAUCACUGGUGUUCGGGUUGUCAUGCCAAUGGCAUUGCCCGGUAGCUAAAUGCGGAAGAGAUAAGUGCUGAAAGCAUCUAAGCACGAAACUUGCCCCGAGAUGAGUUCUCCCUGAGACUUUAAGUCUCCUGAAGGAACGUUAAAGACGAUGACGUUGAUAGGUCGGGUGUGUAAGCGUAGCGAUACGUUGAGCUAACCGAUACUAAUGAACCGUGAGGCUUAACCUU
rnacentral:rRNA from 1 species